UACGUAGGGGGCAAGCGUUGUCCGGAAUCAUUGGGCGUAAAGAGCGUGUAGGCGGCUCGAUAAGUCCGCUCUGAAAGCCCGGGGCUCAACCCCGGGAGGCGGGCGGAUACUGUCGGGCUAGAGUCCGGAAGAGGCGAGUGGAAUUCCUGGUGUAGCGGUGAAAUGCGCAGAUAUCAGGAGGAACACCAAUGGCGAAGGCAGCUCUCUGGGACGGUACUGACGCUGAGACGCGAAAGCGUGGGGAGCGAACAGG
rnacentral:rRNA from 1 species